UACGUAGGGUGCGAGCGUUUAAUCGGAAUUACUGGGCGUAAAGCGUGCGCAGGCGGUUCGCUGUGUCUGCGGUGAAAGCCCCCGGGCUCAACCUGGGAAUUGCAUUGGAAACUAGCGGGCUGGAGUGUGGCAGAGGGGGGGUGGAAUUCCACGUGUAGCAGUGAAAUGCGUAGAUAUCGGGAGGAACACCAGUGGCGAAGGCGACUACCUGGCCUGUUCUUGACGCUGAGGCGCGAAAGCUAGGGGAGCAAACGGGG
rnacentral:rRNA from 1 species